rnacentral:rRNA from 1 species
UACGUAGGCAGCGAGCGUUGUUCGGAGUUACUGGGCGUAAAGGGUGUGUAGGCGGUCGUUUAAGUUUGGUGUGAAAUCUCCCGGCUCAACCGGGAGGGUGCGCCGAAUACUGAAUGACUUGGAGUGCGGGAGAGGUGAGUGGAAUUCCUGGUGUAGCGGUGAAAUGCGUAGAUAUCGGAAGGAACAUCAGUGGCGAAGGCGACUUUCUGGACAGAUACUGACACUGAGGCACGAAAGCAUGGGGAGCAAACAGG